rnacentral:sRNA from 1 species
CACACACGGACUUCGGUUUCUGUCCGGGAGAAAUCCGGCUGAGACCCCCCGGUGGCGUUUCGAGCAUCCAGCGAAAAGCGUCAUUGUCCGUGGAGGCCAACCGGAUAAGGAAAUAA